rnacentral:rRNA from 1 species
UACGGAGGGGGCUAGCGUUGUUCGGAAUUACUGGGCGUAAAGCGCACGUAGGCGGCUUUGUAAGUUAGAGGUGAAAGCCCCGGGCUCAACCUGGGAAUGGCAAUGGAUACUGGCAGGCUAGAGUGCGGUAGAGGGUAGUGGAAUUCCCGGUGUAGCGGUGAAAUGCGUAGAGAUCGGGAGGAACACCAGUGGCGAAGGCGGCUACCUGGACCAGCACUGACACUGAGGCACGAAAGCGUGGGGAGCAAACAGG